rnacentral:antisense_RNA from 1 species
CUUAAGAAAGGAAAGAGAAAGUCCAACCACUACGGCAAUACUUUUAAGCUCUACUAAAUGACGGUAUCCUUUCUGGCUUCGAAACUUUUGUACCUAAAAAUCGAGAGAGGCGCUGCAUUUUUUCAGUUGAAACUGUCAAAACUUGGAGAAGGGGAACCUCGGAGGCAGGCAGGAGAGGAGAAUCCUGAAAACUCGGUGGAGGUUGGGAAGAUGCUGUGCCUCGAGGAUUAGUUUAAACAGGGGGCUAUAAAAGAUGUAACAGAUGCAAACUGUAACACAAGGGCCAUUAACCCUUUCUCUGCCGGGCACACUCAGUCCCCACGCCCCGCACCUAUUGUCUCCUGUGCUAGAAGCUUUGCAGAAAACCUGGAAAACUCACAUCCCCACUCAAAAUGAGAAAAUUAGAAAAGGAGGAUGGAGGACGAGCACACCAAAAAGGGAUAAAAAGAGAGAAAAGGGGAGGAAAAAAAACCUACCUGCGAAGUCUUGUUUGUAGUUUUGGCCAGAAAUGGUGAGAAGAAAAAGCAUGAAGAAGCCGCGAAGUGUGGGGGAGAAAAAGGUGGAAGCGAAGAAACAGCUCCCGGAGCAAACUGUACAAAAACCUCGCCAAGAGUGUCGGGAGGCAGGACCGUUAUUCCUGCAGAGCAGGAGAGAGACGAGAGACCCUGAAACACGCGCCACCUAUCUUUGUGGGGAGGGAUAAUUGAAGCGCCCUGAGCGUGAGCAUCAUGUGAAAACGUGAUCGCCAAGUUUCUCUCUGGGAAAGGAUCUGGGAUAGAUUAUACCUUGAAGUCUCCGCAAACGCUU